GAAAUGGAGCAGGGGAGGAGACGUUACCAACGUCAACAUGCUGAAACGAAACUCAAUGAGGAGACUGAAGGAGUGGUUUUCAAAGUGUAGUUUGCUUUGAUAUUGUUGCGCAGCUGCUUUUAAAACCUGCUACUUUACAGAUAUGGCAACUUCCAGCUGUCUGCUGUCAGAGGACAAGUUCCUUUGUUCUGUGUGUCUGGAUGUGUUCACUGAGCCAGUCUCAACGCCAUGUGGACACAACUUCUGCAGUGCAUGUAUCCAUAAGUAUUGGGACAGCAGGGACAUUUGCCAGUGUCCAUUAUGCAAAAGGACAUUUUCUCCAAGACCUCAACUCCAAGUCAACACUUUUGUGUCUGAGUUAGCUGCUGAGUUUAAGACGUCAGUUCAAGUUAAAGCCUCAACUCCAGACCCACAACUUCCUGGAACAGCAGAUGUUCUUUGUGAUAUCUGCUCUGAUUUAAAGGAAAAGGCCGUCAAAUCUUGCCUGACAUGUCUGCUGUCUUUCUGUGAAGUGCACCUUGAGCCACAUCACAGAGUUGCACGUCUCAAGAGCCACACAUUAUUAGACCCUGUGAAGAAUCUUGAUGACAAAAUGUGCAAGACACACAACAAGAUAACAGAACUGUACUGCAGGACUGACCAGGCCUGUAUUUGUGUCUUGUGUUUCAAAACUGAUCACAGGAGUCACAAUGUUGUCCCACUUGAGGAAGAAUAUGAAGCAGUGAUGGCAAAGAAAGAUGAGACCAUGGCAAAUAUCCAAAAGAUGAUAGAGUCACGGUGUGAGAAGAUAGCUGAGAUUGAAGAGUCACUUGAAGUCAGCCAGAGAGAAGCUGAGAAAGAGAAAGAAGCCAGUGUGCAGGUCUUCACUGACCUGAUCCGCUCCAUCCAGAGAAGCCAGGCCGAGCUGGUUGAGCUGAUUGAGGAGAGGUACAGAGCAACAAAGCAAAAGGCCGAAGGUUUCCUCACAGAACUGAGGAUGGAAGUCGCUGAGCUCCAGAGCAGAAGCAGCCAGCUGGAGCAGCUGUCACAGUCUGAGGAUCACCAUCAUUUUCUCCAGAGCUUCUCAACCCUGUGCUCUCCUUCAAACAAGGACUGGACCAACGUCAGUGUUCACAGCCAUCUGUCUUUGGAGGCAGUGAGAGGGGCUGUGAGUCUGCUGAAACAAAGAGUUGAUGAAAUAAUGGAGGAGGUUCCUGAGAUCAAAAUGAUCAGAAUGAGAGAACAUGCAGUGGACUUGACCUUUGACCCUGACACAGCAAAUUACUCACUUGUUAUCAGCCAGGAUGGAAAACAAGUGACAAAUGUAGGCAGAAAACAGAAUCUUCCCUACAGUCCAAAGAGAUUUGAAGUGUGCACAGAGGUUUUGGCAAAGGAGGGGUUCACAUCAGGGAAGUUUUACUAUGAAGUGCAAGUGACAGGAAAGACUGAGUGGAUUCUUGGAGUGGUCAGAGAGUCUGUUGAGAGAAAGGAGGACAUGGAUUUGUUCGUUGAAAAUGGUUACUGGACGUUUGGGCUUGAUGAGGGUUCAUAUAUCGCUCAUACAACAGCAAGAGUUGAACUCACAGUGAAAGGAAAGCUUGAGAAGGUGGGCAUCUUUGUGGACUAUGAUAAGGGAAAGGUUUCUUUCUAUGAUGUGAAUUCUAAAUCUCAUAUCUAUUCUUUCACUGGCUGCCACUUUACAGAGACACUGUAUCCAUAUUUCUGCCCUCAAGGUUUCAUGGAUGGAACAAACUCCGCCCCUCUCAUCAUAACCCCUGUACCUACAACACACUGAGUUUGGCCCUUCUUGAAAAGAUCCAGUGUGUAAAAGCCCAGAUUCACCAAACCUGAAAGAUGAAGGCCGUUGCUGUGUCGUGACCAAAAAAGUUGCGCAUCAUGAAAUGUUUCUGCUAGAUAGUUCAAUGGAUAAGAGAAAAAUAAACUUACUUAAUGUAACAAGUAGAUUUGAUCUCGACAGACGCUCUUCAACAGCCCAACUUUGACUGACAGUCGACCAUCAGCUUGGUGCGUCAGAGCCUUAAGAUUUAGGGGGGUUUAGUGGCAUCUAGUGGUGAGGACUGCAGAUUGCAACCAAUUGAAACUUUUCCCAGUUACAAUUUUUCAGUGUCCAUCACUAGGAAGUAUUUACUUGGAGCUGACUUCUCUGCAGAGGUCUUUUCCUCUUCAAUAACAAACAAAGUCUGUGAUUUAAACCGGUAAAAAACAUGGUGGUCUCCGUAGACGAGGACCCGCUCCAUAUAUAGAUAUAAACGGCUCAUGCCAAGGUAACGAAGCGACAACGAUUCUUAUUUUCGGGUGAUUAAACACUAAAGAAAACAAACUGUUAUUACUGUUUCUGCCAAUACGUCCCCUUUAAUCCUACACACUGGACCUUUAGUGGCUGCAGAAAGAUUCAUAAUGCUCUCUGUCAAUACACUUUACAGAUCUGCAAAUGUUAUAUUGGUAAUCUCAAACUAGCCUCUCUAAUAUUUACGUGUUUUCUCUUUAUGCAUGGAUAUAUAAAAGAAGCAUGACGCUGCAUGACAAGUGACUUCCUGUUUCCUCUCUACAGUGUACAUUUCUGUAAAUAUGAUGACGUGAACUCAUGAUACUAAUGUUGCACAGUUAUAUUGUCAGAUCCUGUUGUAUCACAAUAGAGGAUAUAAUGUUUCUCUGUUCAGACGUUCUGUUCUCUUACAAUCUUCUGCUCCUGCAAAAUCAGACAUGUUUUGCCUUUCAAAGACCAGUGUCUAAAUAUUCUUCAUUUUGUUGCUUUCUUGUGAUUCACUGUGAAUUUUGUGCUUCUGUGACAACUGGGGCUGAAUAAACUGCACAUCUAAACUUGA